rnacentral:rRNA from 1 species
CACAAGCGGUGGAGCAUGUGGUUUAAUUCGAAGCUACGCGAAGAACCUUACCAGGUCUUGACAUCUUCUGCCAAUCUUAGAGAUAAGACGUUCCCUUCGGGGACAGAAUGACAGGUGGUGCAUGGUUGUCGUCAGCUCGUGUCGUGAGAUGUUGGGUUAAGUCCCGCAACGAGCGCAACCCUUAUUAUCAGUUGCCAGCAUUCAGUUGGGCACUCUGGUGAGACUGCCGGUGACAAACCGGAGGAAGGUGGGGAUGACGUCAAAUCAUCAUGCCCCUUAUGACCUGGGCUACACACGUGCUACAAUGGACGGUACAACGAGUCGCAAAGUCGCGAGGCUAAGCUAAUCUCUUAAAGCCGUUCUCAGUUCGGAUUGCAGGCUGCAACUCGCCUACAUGAAGUUGGAAUCGCUAGUAAUCGCGGAUCAGCAUGCCGCGGUGAAUACGUUCCCGGGCCUUGUACACACCGCCCGUCACACCAUGAGAGUUUGUAACACCCAAAGCCGGUGAGGUAACCUUUUGGAGCCAGCCGUCUAAGGUGGGACAGAUGAUUGGGGUGAAGUCGUAACAAGGUAACC